rnacentral:rRNA from 1 species
CAGCAGCCACGGUAAAACGAAGGGUGCAAGCGUUACUCGGAAUUACUGGGCGUAAAGCGUGCGUAGGUGGUGGUUUAAGUCCGUUGUGAAAGCCCUGGGCUCAACCUGGGAAUUGCAGUGGAUACUGGGUCACUAGAGUGUGGUAGAGGAUAGUGGAAUUUCCGGUGUAGCAGUGAAAUGCGUAGAGAUCGGAAGGAACAUCUGUGGCGAAGGCGACUAUCUGGGCCAACACUGACACUGAGGCACGAAAGCGUGGGGAGCAAACAGGAUUAGAUACCCGCGUAGUCCCUGUCUCUUAUAC